rnacentral:rRNA from 1 species
CGGGGAUAGCCUUUCGAAAGAAAGAUUAAUACCCGAUGUCAUAGUCCUACCGCAUGAUGGGAUUAUUAAAGAAUUUCGGUAUGGGAUGGGGAUGCGUUCCAUUAGUUAGUUGGCGGGGUAACGGCCCACCAAGACAACGAUGGAUAGGGGUUCUGAGAGGAAGGUCCCCCACAUUGGAACUGAGACACGGUCCAAGCUCCUACGGGAGGCAGCAGUGAGGAAUAUUGGUCAAUGGACGAGAGUCUGAACCAGCCAAGUAGCGUGAAGGAUGACUGCCCUAUGGGUUGUAAACUUCUUUUAUAUGGGAAUAAAACGUUCCACGUGUGGGAUUUUGUAUGUACCAUAUGAAUAAGGAUCGGCUAACUCCGUGCCAGCAGCCGCGGUAAUACGGAGGAUCCGAGCGUUAUCCGGAUUUAUUGGGUUUAAAGGGAGCGUAGGUGGAUUGUUAAGUCAGUUGUGAAAGUUUGCGGCUCAACCGUAAAAUUGCAGUUGAAACUGGCAGUCUUGAGUACAGUAGAGGUGGGCGGAAUUCGUGGUGUAGCGGUGAAAUGCUUAGAUAUCACGAAGAACUCCGAUUGCGAAGGCAGCUCACUGGACUGCAACUGACACUGAGGCUCGAAAGUGUGGGUAUCAAACAGGAUUAGAUACCCUGGUAGUCCACACAGUAAAC